GACAGAGGCCCCGAGCGUUAGUCGGAAUCACUGGGCUUAAAGGUGCGUAGGCGGACUUGUAAGUGCUUUGUGAAAGCCCCGGCUCAACCCGGGAACCGCAGGCAUACUGCAAGUCUUAGAGGAAGCUAGAGGCGGUAGAACGAUCGGUGGAGCGGUGGAAUGCGUAGAGAUCGAUCGGAAUGCCAAGGUGAAGACAACCGCUGGGCUUCCUGACGCUGA
rnacentral:rRNA from 1 species